CUUCUCUUUUCUGUUUCUCUGGCUAGAACUCCUACAUUAACCCUCCAGUUUCUUUAUGCUUUCCUCGUAUUUUCUAUCAUUAGUUUUCUAUCAGUAAACUAAUGUAUCGUUACAGUGAAUCUCUUACUGUUUUCAGAGUGACCAUAUGCAAAGGGUGGAGUUGAAUGUUUACCAGAGGACUUGCUUGUGUUUUGGGAAAAUUUUUAUUUUAUCUAAAAUGUAAUUAUACAAAUUUCAUUUUGUUAAUUUUGAUCAGAAGAGUUAAUUUUGUUAUCUUCACUUAAUUUUUCUUUGGCCUAGUUUUCAGAUAACUAUUAUCGUGCAGAAAUGAUUGAUGCCCUGGCCAACUCUGUUACACCUGCAGUCAGUGUGAAUAAUGAAGUUAGAACUUUGGAUAACUUAAAUCCUGAUGUGCGACUCAUUCUUGAAGAAAUCACCAGAUUUUUGAAUAUGGAAAAACUUCUUCCGAGUUACAGGCAUACCAUCACUGUCAGUUGUUUGAGAGCCAUACGGGUACUUCAGAAGAACGGACAUGUGCCAAGUGAUCCAGCUCUUUUUAAAUCUUAUGCUGAAUAUGGCCACUUUGUGGACAUUAGGAUAGCAGCUUUGGAAGCAGUUGUUGAUUAUACUAAAGUGGACAGAAGUUAUGAAGAACUGCAAUGGCUACUUAAUAUGAUUCAGAAUGACCCUGUACCCUAUGUAAGGCAUAAGAUUCUCAACAUGUUGACUAAGAACCCACCAUUUACUAAGAACAUGGAGUCUCC
rnacentral:sRNA from 1 species